ensembl:lncRNA
CCUCUCUGAGCCUCACCGUCCUCAUCCACUUGUGAGUGUGUGCUCAGUCAUGUCGGACUCUUUGUGACCCCACGGACUGUAGCCAGCCAGGUUUCUCUGACCAGCCAAUGGUUACCAGGGGACUCCAGGACUGGGACCUCAGAGAGUGAAAGUUGUGCCCUGUGACGUUGCCCUUCCUAGUAACAGUGAAGAGCUCUUGUUUGAUGGAGAUUUAUAGGAGCAUUGUUGCCUGACCAUGACUGACAUUGAGAACAAAGGAUCUGACACCCAGAAGUUUGCAACAAGUAACCAUGCCUCUCCCUCACCUCUCCUAGACAGGGGCUUUGCUGGAAGCCUUUGUGGAGUUUGGGAUUUCUAAGGCAUGGGUCUCUCCGAUCUCCUUGGAUGGCCCUCAGUAAACCUUUGUCUGUUCCAAACUCUGGUGUUUUGGUAUUUUUGGCUUCCCGGGCACUGGUCACACAAACUUGUGUUGCAGUUAGUAAGCUCUUUUUAUCUCCAUCUUAAGUCUGCCAUUGCAGGAGAUGUGGGUUCCAUCCCUGGGUUGGGAA